UAUAAUUCAUUUAUAUGUUUUGGAAUUUAGUAUGACGUUCAUUUUCACUAAAAUAAAACAGGCACAUUUUUAUUUAGGGGCCAGCUGAGGACCACCUUCGGGUGUGGGAUUUUCUCGCUGAGUUGAAGACCUAUUGGUGCCCUUAUGCUGUUAUCUGCUCCUUGGUAACAUUUUUUGUUAGAUCACUGGGGUCCAUGUAAACUUAUGUCACCACUUGACGUCCGUCGUCGUCCGUCUUCUGUCGUUGAUUGUCAUAUGUCUUUAUCGCCGUCCGUCGUCGGUGUAAACUAUUACAAAAAUCUUCUCCUUUGAAACUACUGGGCCAAAUACUUUCAAACUUUAACUGAAUUUUCCUCAGGGUAUCUAGUUUAUAAAUUGUAUUCAAAGUUUUGGUCCAUCAACAAACAUGGCUGACAUUGCAAUAAAUAGAACAUAAAUGCAGUUUAUAUCUCAAAAACUAGAGACGUUACGCGCGAU
rnacentral:lncRNA from 1 species